UCAAGUAAAAAAAAAAAAAAAGAAUGACUUGCUUUUCUCUUUUAAAGUACCCUUUUUAAAUAGCUGGACACUCAAAGAUUCCCCAGGGGUUUGUGUUACUGGUUUUAUUUAAGAGACCUCUGAUAGACUUGACACAUUGUACUCCUUCAGUUUCUGGGCUAAGAACAGUCACCUUGUUCCAUCUAAGACAUGAUUGCUUCUUGCAAGUUGGAGGGUUUCUAUUUUCUUCUGUGCAUAUUUCAGUUGGAUCUUCAGAGCAUCAUUAUCUGCUUUCAGGGUAUUUAUUUCCUAAAGGGAAAGGAGAAUGAGGCAUGUUAAUAAAGCAGCAAUGAAUAGCAAAUCAGUUACAACAUUGGAAGUACUACACUUGAUUGGCAUUUUCUAUUCACUGUGGCUGAGAAUUAAAAACUAUUUUCAAGACAGUUAUUUUGCUCUGAAUAGAAAAUAACAAGUUAAAUACCAAGUAAGCAUGUGCAAACAGCAAUUAGUUUUUGUUAUUGAAUUAAAGGUGGCUAGCAGGUGGAAUAAACCAUUCCCAGACAAGACAUGGAUAAUAAAACCUGCGGAUGCUGCAUAGUGGGAGAUCUAAACUUAGCAGAAAUGGAGUCUCUGGUUAGGUCUGAGGUAUGAAAACAGUGACUCAGUACUGUCAUACAAAAUAUUAUAGUUUAAGUUUUUUUUCUCCAAAUCACUGAAAACUAAUGGACUCCUUUGAUAAAGAAUUUUAUUCUACCCCCUAAACUGGGAUUUAAUUAUCCAAUUCUCUGUGGCAGUUGAUUUCCAGUCUUCUGAGUUUUAAAAAUUGAAUUAUAUUUGACCUAUGACAUUGUAUAAAUUUAAGGUGUACAACAUGUUAAUUUGAUAGGUUGUAAUACUGCCAUUAUAAAGACAAUCAGUACCUUUCAUUACAGUAUUAUCCUUUUUAAUAACUGGAAUAAUUUAAGUUCUGGACUCAGCAGGUUUGAGGAUUAUAGUACAGGAUUAUUGUCCGUAUUCAUUGUACUAUGCAUUAUAUCUUUCAGGCUUAUUUACCAGUUGUUUUAAGUUUGUACCCUUAAACACCAUCUGUACCCCCUAUUCUUCCCUGGUUCCCAGGUUCCCCUGGUAACCACCAUUUUAAUCUGGUUUUACAAGUGUGGCUUUUUAAAAUUCCAUGUAUAAGUGAUGUUAUACAAUACUUAUCACUUCUCUACUUAGCAUAAUGUGCUCAAGGCCCAUCCAUGUUGCUGCAAAUUCCCUUCUCAUGGCUGAAUGAUACUCCACGGUAUGGACAUUUUUACUGUGGUAUGGACAUUGAUGAGCCGUGCAGUUUCCCUCCCUAGUGCCAUCUGAAUGCUUCCAGAGACACGUGAAGUGUGCUGUUGGAAGUGCUGACUGUACUGCAGGCGCGGGGAAUUGCUGCAGGGCAUCAGGAGUCUACAGCACAUUCUUUAUGCUCUGCUCUGCGGGCCUUCUCACAAUGAUUUUCGGAUGGGCCAAAGUCUAGGAAGUGUGUGACAUUCCGUUCACAGCCCGGAAUCCUGAACCAGAUAUUCAGGGAGGAACUGGAGGUUUGGAGCGCACCUCCCUCAAUCCUGAUGAACUGGCAAGAUGGCCUCCCUCUCACUCACCUCUUAGCAAACAGUGACCAUGACUGUGAAGUAGGGAAGGAGCUUGCAAGAACUGGCUGUGCAAACCGCCCUGAGGGUCAAGCAGCCACCCACACAGAAGCACUGCUGUGGAAGAGGAGCGAGCUCCAGCUUCAAGAGAACUAACACGAGGGCAUGUUCAUCUCCAUGACUGUCUCCCUCUGUCACUUCUGAGACACGGGCAAUCUUUUCAGUGGUUACACUGAGUUUCCGCAGAACUAGUAGGGAACUGGAAGGUGGAGUGGGGUAGCAUCCCCGGAGCUAAAGGUGGUUGGUGACAGCGGGGACAAUGAAUCUGAGACUUACCAAAAGCAGCUUGAAUAUCCUGGGACAACAGGGCAAUGGAGCACAGACAUGUCUCCUUAAGAAGAGCCUCCAUGGAGCCCAGGAGGAUGGGGGGGGGUAGGG